rnacentral:rRNA from 1 species
CCUACGGGAGGCAGCAGUAGGGAAUAUUGCUCAAUGGGGGAAACCCUGAAGCAGCAACGCCGCGUGGAGGAUGAAGGUUUUCGGAUUGUAAACUCCUUUUGUUAGAGAAGAUAAUGACGGUAUCUAACGAAUAAGCACCGGCUAACUCCGUGCCAGCAGCCGCGGUAAUACGGAGGGUGCAAGCGUUACUCGGAAUCAAUGGGCGUAAAGCGCGCGUAGGCGGGAUAGCAAGUCAGAUGUGAAAUCCUAUGGCUUAACCAUAGAACUGCAUUUGAAACUGUUAUUCUAGAGUAUGGGAGAGGUAGGUGGAAUGCUUGGUGUAGGGGUAAAAUCCGUAGAGAUCAAGAGGAAUACUCAUUGCGAAGGCGACCUGCUAGAACAUAACUGACGCUGAUGCGCGAAAGCGUGGGGAGCAAACAGGAUUAGAUACCCCUGUAGUC